CCCCCCAUAGCUCAUUGGUAGAGCAGGCGGUUGUAGCCCGCUGUGGCCCGGUUCGAUUCCUGGUGGGGGGA
rnacentral:tRNA from 1 species